rnacentral:rRNA from 1 species
GUCAACAUCCUUAACGAAUGUAAUCACGUUCUAACCUGUUGAACGUUAUCUUAGAUGACCGUAAGCACGCUUUCGGCACCUGAGCAACUUUCAGAGGCCAGACGGAUAGCCCAAAGGGUAUUCGUUGCAAUCCUCAGUCUCAAUCACCACAUCUACCAGAGGCUAUAACACUUCAACCGAAAUCGAAGCUACAUUCCGCCGGUCAUUUUAUGAUAAUCGAAACUGACGUUGGCCUACCAUACGAAAAAGUACACCCAAAACGCACAAACAUGCAAACAGCGAGGCCGAAACUCACGCACGCCCACAAGUUCGCACACGAUAAGUUGAUUUCUCGUCGGUACGACUGACUUCAAUCGUUUCCCUUUCAA